UACGUAGGGCGCAAGCGUUAUCCGGAAUUAUUGGGCGUAAAGAGCUCGUAGGCGGUUUGUCGCGUCUGCCGUGAAAGUCCGGGGCUCAACUCCUGAUCUGCGGUGGGUACGGGCAGACUAGAGUGAUGUAGGGGAGACUGGAAUUCCUGGUGUAGCGGUGAAAUGCGCAGAUAUCAGGAGGAACACCGAUGGCGAAGGCAGGUCUCUGGGCAUUAACUGACGCUGAGGAGCGAAAGCAUGGGGAGCGAACAGG
rnacentral:rRNA from 1 species